CUUUUUGAUAAUAAUUUAAGGUCUAGCCUGCCCAAUGAUGUAGAAUUAAAUGGCCGCGGUAUCUUGACCGUGCAAAGGUAGCAUAAUAAUUAGUUUUUUAAUUGAAAGCUGGUAUGAAAGGUUGGAUGAGAAAAUAACUGUCUCUGUUUAAAUUUUAUAGAAUUUUAUUUUUAAGUAAAAAAGCUUAAAUUUGUAUUGAAGACGAGAAGACCCUAUAGAGUUUUAUAUCUAUUUUAUAUUGAGAUUUUUAGUAUUAAUUUUUUUGGUUUAAAAUAGGUAUUUAAUUGGGGUGAUUAAAAAAUUAAAAAAACUUUUUUUUUAUUAUAUCAUUAAUUUAUGAAUAUAUGAUCCUUAUAUUAAGAUUAAAAGAAUAAAUUACCUUAGGGAUAACAGCGUAAUUUUUUUUUAGAGUUCAAAUCGAAAAAAAAGGUUGCGACCUCGAUGUUGGAUUAAAAUUAAUUUUUGGUGUAGAAGCUAAA
rnacentral:rRNA from 1 species